UCUCUUCGGAGAAUACACGACCGGCGCACGGGUGAGUAACGCGUAUGCAACCUACCUAUAACACAAGGAUAGCUCGCGGAAACGGGAAUUAAUACUUGAUGACAUUCAAAGAUGGCAUCAUCAAUGAAUCAAAGUUCCGGCGGUUAUAGAUGGGCAUGCGUGACAUUAGCUAGUUGGUGAGGUAGAGGCUCACCAAGGCGACGAUGUCUAGGGGGUCUGAGAGGAUGAUCCCCCACACUGGUACUGAGACACGGACCAGACUCCUACGGGAGGCAGCAGUGAGGAAUAUUGCGCAAUGGAGGAAACUCUGACGCAGCCAUCCCGCGUGCAGGAUUGACGGCCCUAUGGGUUGUAAACUGCUUUUCUAUACCAAGAAACACCGAUACGUGUAUCGGUUUGCCGGUAGUAUAGGAAUAAGCAUCGGCUAACUCCGUGCCAGCAGCCGCGGUAAUACGGAGGAUGCAAGCGUUAUCCGGAAUCACUGGGUUUAAAGGGUGCGCAGGCGGAAUAGUAAGUCAGAGGUGAAAGCCCACAGCUCAACUGUGGAAUUGCCUUUGAUACUGUUAUUCUUGAGUGUAGUUGAAAUAGGCGGAAUAUAGCAUGUAGCGGUGAAAUGCAUAGAUAUGCUAUAGAACACCAAUUGCGAAGGCAGCUUGCUAAACUAUAACUGACGCUGAGGCACGAAAGCGUGGGGAGCGAACAGGAUUAGAUACCCUGGUAGUCCACGCCGUAAACUAUGAACACUCGCUGUUGGCAAUACACAGUCAGCGGCUGAGCGAAAGCGUUAAGUGUUCCACCUGGGAAGUACGAUCGCAAGGUUGAAACUCAAAGGAAUUGACGGGGGCCCGCACAAGCGGAGGAGCAUGUGGUUUAAUUCGAUGAUACGCGAGGAACCUUACCUGGGCUUAAAUGUAUAUUGACGUACUGAGAAAUCAGUAUUUCUUCGGACAAUUUACAAGGUGCUGCAUGGUUGUCGUCAGCUCGUGCCGUGAGGUGUCGGGUUAAGUCCCAUAACGAGCGCAACCCCUACUUCUAGUUACCAGCAUUUCGGAUGGGGACUUUAGAGGAACUGCCUACGCAACCUAGAGAGGAAGGUGGGGAUGACGUCAAAUCAGCACGGCCCUUAUGUCCAGGGCUACACACGUGCUACAAUGGCCGGUACAGAGGGCAGCUAC
rnacentral:rRNA from 1 species